GGGUUGUCAUGCCAAUGGCACUGCGCGGUAGCUAAAUGCGGAAGAGAUAAGUGCUGAAAGCAUCUAAGCACGAAACUUGCCCCGAGAUGAGUUCUCCCUGAGACUAUAAGUCUCCUGAAGGAACGUUGAAGACGACGACGUUGAUAGGCCGGGUGUGUAAGCGCAGCGAUGCGUUGAGCUAACCGGUACUAAUGAACCGUGAGGCUUAACCUU
rnacentral:rRNA from 1 species